GGCGGAAUGGCCGAGCGGUCUAAGGCGCUAGAAUCAGGCUAAAAUACGUCUAUCUAGUCCGAAAGGGCGUGAGUUCGAAUCUCGCUUCCGUCA